UUGCAACACAGUCUGUUUUUCUUCUGCUGUUGUUGAACCUUCAAACUAGAAUCUAUUGCUUGUUUAAAGCUAAACAUGCUGUAUGUAUUGAUGUAUAUAUGUGUUGCUAAAACACUUGUCUAUUUUAAAUAUCACUGGGUGUUGGAAAAGAAAAGGCUGAAUUAUUGGAUUAUUCCUGUAGCUGUGCAGCUGGUAAAGGAUUUUGCAAUCAUGUAGUUGCACUUCUUUACCAAACUGCACACUACUGCCAACUCCAGCUGCCAACUGAUCCUCCUGCACAAGUGAUUUACAAAAAUGGCACAGACCAAGAACACAGGGGAAACAUCCUGAACCUGUCAGCGACGUGGUGGGGAAAAGAUAUCUGCACUCCACACUUUAUAAUA